rnacentral:lncRNA from 1 species
UAUAACGAGGGUCGAAUCAUUAUAUUCUAGAGGAUAUAAGACAAUAUUCUGCUGCAUCGGUUCGAAACUUUGCCAAUCGCAGAAAGUUUGAAUCUGUUUAAAGAAAGUGAAUUUUUCGUGAAUCGGUUUGAUCGACUUUCGACACUUUUUUUUUUUAUUUUUUUUUAUUCUAAUAUCUAUUUUUAUGUAUUUACACGAACACUUUUAUCUGUCCUGAUCUGUCAAAAGUUCACUCCAGUUAAAGAUUCAAACGGGGCGGAUCUGGAGAUAGGAGCCCCGCCCCACCUUCCAUCCGAUUACCAAAAUUCCGUCCCACCUUUCGCCCAGAUCCGUGCCACGCUAAAAUAUAUAUUUUAUAAUCCAUCCCACCUCAUAACCCAUUUUCCGCUGGCGCCCCAAAUCCGCCCGGCUAAUUAAUACUUUUUUUACAAAUUGUAAUAUUAUUUUUUUUAUAAAAUAUAAAUAAUAAUUUUUUUAGUAAUAAUAAAUAAUAUUAUUAAGUUAUAUAUAUAAUUAGUAACAUCAAUUAUAAAAAAAAAAAUUAUCAAUCACGAUUUGAACUAAAAUUCAAAAAUUUCAAAUACAUUAUAAAUGAGAGCACCAACUUAUUUAUAUUUUGAACUAUUUAUGAAUAUAUUAUUCUUUAGGAAUAUUUUUUAAAAAUAUAAUUUAUUUUCAGGGCUGAUUCAUAACGGAUAAUGGCGGGACAGAUUCGAAGUGAAUUCGGAGCUAGUAAAAAAUUUUCUCCUUUCCCACCCCGAAUCUGUCCCGGAUAAUAAAAAUCGCCCUUUUUCCCACCCCAAAUCUGUUUACUUUUUUUUCAUUUACUGCCCUAUUUAGGACGGAUCGGAGCGGGUGCAACCCAAAUGAAGAGUUAAGUAGGGAUAAAACAAAGGGGAUAAAAUCCAAC